rnacentral:tRNA from 1 species
GGAUAAUUAGCUCAGUUGGUAGAGCAGCUGACUCUUAAUCAGCGGGUCGCAGGUUCGAUUCCUGCAUUAUCCA